GAUGAACGCUAGCUACAGGCUUAACACAUGCAAGUCGAGGGGCAUCGGGAAGAAAGCUUGCUUUCUUUGCUGGCGACCGGCGCACGGGUGAGUAACACGUAUCCAACCUGCCCUUUACUCGGGGAUAGCCUUUCGAAAGAAAGAUUAAUACCCGAUAGCAUAAUGAUUCCGCAUGGUUUCAUUAUUAAAGGAUUCCGGUAAAGGAUGGGGAUGCGUUCCAUUAGGUUGUUGGUGAGGUAACGGCUCACCAAGCCUUCGAUGGAUAGGGGUUCUGAGAGGAAGGUCCCCCACAUUGGAACUGAGACACGGUCCAAACUCCUACGGGAGGCAGCAGUGAGGAAUAUUGGUCAAUGGGCGGUAGCCUGAACCAGCCAAGUAGCGUGAAGGAUGAAGGCUCUAUGGGUCGUAAACUUCUUUUAUAUAAGAAUAAAGUGCAGUAUGUAUACUGUUUUGUAUGUAUUAUAUGAAUAAGGAUCGGCUAACUCCGUGCCAGCAGCCGCGGUAAUACGGAGGAUCCGAGCGUUAUCCGGAUUUAUUGGGUUUAAAGGGAGCGUAGGUGGACUGGUAAGUCAGUUGUGAAAGUUUGCGGCUCAACCGUAAAAUUGCAGUUGAUACUGUCAGUCUUGAGUACAGUAGAGGUGGGCGGAAUUCGUGGUGUAGCGGUGAAAUGCUUAGAUAUCACGAAGAACUCCGAUUGCGAGGGCAGCUCACUGGACUGCAACUGACACUGAUGCUCGAAAGUGUGGGUAUCAAACAGG
rnacentral:rRNA from 1 species